rnacentral:rRNA from 1 species
UACAGAGGUCUCAAGCGUUGUUCGGAUUCAUUGGGCGUAAAGGGUGCGUAGGUGGCGUCGUAAGUGGGGUGUGAAAUCCCGGGGCUUAACCCCGGGACUGCAUUCCAUACUGCGGUGCUUGAGGACUGGAGAGGAGACUGGAAUUUACGGUGUAGCAGUGAAAUGCGUAGAUAUCGUGAGGAACACCAGAGGCGAAGGCGGUUACCUGGACAGUUACUGACGCUCAGGCACGAAAGCAUGGGGAGCAAAAGGG